GUUGCCCAAGGUGACAAGCCAAGAGGGGGGUUGAAUUGGUUUCUUUUAAUUUUAACUAUCUUACUUGUGUUAAAUGAUGAGUUAGUGAACUUAAGCAAAUCACAAUACAAACAAUAAGAAGUAUAGUGGUUCGGUGCUCUCCUUAGCACCUACGUCCACUCUCCAAGCGACCCCUUGGGAAUUCACUAUAAUUCCGCGGAUUACAGUUGGAUUGUUUUCCGGGUUCACAAUCCAAAAACCUUUACACUUUGGUUUUCCGGGUUCACCAAAAACCUAUGUUGGUUUUACGGGCUCACC
rnacentral:lncRNA from 1 species